UACGGAGGGUGCAAGCAUUAAUCGGAUUUAUUGGGCGUAAAGGGCGCGUAGGCGGGAAUGUAAGUCAGAUGUGAAAUCCCGGGGCUCAACCCCGGAACAGCAUUUGAAACUGUGUUUCUUGAGGGUAGGAGGAGAAAACGGAAUUCCACAUGUAGCGGUGAAAUGCGUAGAUAUGUGGAAGAACACCUGUGGCGAAGGCGGUUUUCUAUCUUAUACCUGACGCUAAAGCGCGAAAGCAAGGGGAUCAAACAGG
rnacentral:rRNA from 1 species